GAUGAACGCUAGCGGCAGGCUUAAUACAUGCAAGUUGAGGGGCAGCAUGAUAUACGCGAGUAUAUUGAUGGCGACCGGCGGACGGGUGAGUAAUAGGUAGGAGACCUACCUCAUACAGGGGGAUAGCAUAGAGAAAUCUGUGGUAAUACCCCAUGAGGUUAUAUGAAUAGAGGCAUAUAAUCAAAGCAUAAGCGAUUAUGCGGUAUGAGAGGGGCCUACUGACCAUUAGCUAGUUGGUGAGGUAAGGGCUCACCAAGGCGAAGAUGGUUAGGGGUUUUGAGAGAGAGACCCCCCACAUUGGAACUGAGAGACGGUCCAGACUCCUACGGGAGGCAGCAGUAGGGAAUAUUGCACAAUGGGCGCAAGCCUGAUGCAGCGACGCCGCGUGAGGGAUGACGGCCUGGUUGUAACGUCUUCUACCUAGGACGAAGACGCAAGUAGACGGUACCGUCGGAGGAAGAAGGACGACCGGACCCGAACCUACCGUAGCCACG
rnacentral:rRNA from 1 species